UGGGGUCAGGGGUGAGUUCGGGUCUGGACCUGUGCACCCAGGGCAUCUACAGGCCUGCGAGGGGAGCACUGGCUUAGAGCUGGGCUCUCAGGCCUCACCGGGUCUCAGUUUUGAACUUGUUCCCCAGCCCCACAUCCCUCCCCUUGGAGGGAAGCGGUGUGGCAGUCCGGGUGGUUAGCUGGUAGGCAGGUCCUGCCUCUGACCGGUGGAGGGAUCCACGUGGCAACUGGUGAUCAGAGCUGGAGCUGGGGAGUGACCCUCAACUGGGCAUUUGCUCUUAGGCCAAACCCACGAAGCACAUGGGACUCCGUUCAAGGGACAUGACCCAAGCUGUGCGUACCCCAAAGGCUAACGGGACUUACAGUGUCCCCGAGUCGGUCAGGGCCUCCAGGGCGCAGACCUGAGACGGGGUUAGGAAUUCAAGAGACUUGGGCUGGGGAGGUGUUCACAGAGGGGAGGGGGGAAGGGGGCAGGCAGAGAGCCCCGCAGAUGCUGUGCGGACGGGACAAGGCCAGGCCAGCCCAGUGAGGGCCUUUCAGGCAAACUGCCCAGUGGACAGCCGGGCCCUGUGCUGCCACAUUGGCCAGAGGUGUCAGCUCCCUGCGGUCCCCUCCUGCUUCCGCAGGGCCCUGGCCACUCAGCCGGUCAUUCCUGAGCCCUCCUUGGCGCCGGGCAUGUUUUAGAUGCCGCUGGUGAGGGGUGGUGAAGUCUAAGUUUCGCGAGUGAAUGGGCAGAAGCAGGGAAGUUGGGGAGAGGAUGCCCCGCAGGCAUCCCUGUGGGGUGGGCGCUCAGAAGGACUCUCUGGAAAGGGACGUAGACAGGAGACAGCCAGGGAAGGACGCAGCCAUCUGAGCGGAAGGGACAGUCGGGGCCCUGCGUGGGAAGGAGCUUCGUGCUCCCGGACCCCCUCUCUCCCGUGGCCUGGCCCGGCACCUUAGACCCCAUGCCCUGUUCGGUUGUCACCCUCACGGCCUCUGGUCCCACCUCGUGGGUGGGUCAGCCUUUGGUCUGGAGGCCGGGGAGAAAGGGACACCGGAGAUUCAGAAGUGAAGAAUGGAGCCAGACCCCAAAGGCCGCAGAGUGUGUGACCCUUCCUGUGCCCCCCGACAUGUCCGGAACAGGCAGAUUUGGGAGACAGGAUGCAGAUGAGCAGUUGCCAGGGGCUCGGGGAGGGAGAGUGGGGUUGAGGGCCUCAUGGGUAUGGGUGUCUUUUGGGGGUGAUGAAAUGUUCUGGAAGCAGACGGAGAUGGUGGUUGCACAACCUUGUGAGUGAACUUAAUGCUACUGAAUCGUUGCCUCGUAAUGGUUAAUUUCGUGGGAAUUUUUCCUCAGAAGCUGUGCACACACAAGUGGAAGGACAGGAAGGUGGGGCACCGUGGGGUCUGGUCCUUCUGGGAAGAGCUGAAGAGCUGCCAGACUGGCCAGCGUGUCACCCACAUCUUUUUGCGCUAAAAUCACAUCCCUCUCCUCCCCAGCCUCGAGGUCCGUUCCGAAAGCCUUUGUCCCGUGUCUCAGGCUGGGGGAGCUCUAGAGUGGGGUGGGAAGAAGGGUCCUGCACACAGGACUGGGUUGGCCUGUGGAGAGGUGCGCGAGGGGGAGCGGGCAGCGGGGUGGGCUCCAGCCAAGCGAACAGGCCUUUGCAGGGGCCAGAGGACAGGACGUGGACCCCAGGGUGGGGCAGGACCUGGAGGAGCCCCACCAGCUCCUCUCUCUCUUCUCUUCUCUUUUUCCGCUAAGCCGUGAAAGCUCCACAUCCCCCGGCUCAAAACCCGAGCGAGGGUGUGCGCCCGGGAGACUUGCUCGGAGCCGUCUACCCCUGACUGUGUCCAAGUGAGGCCAAGCUCUUCAUGACCCCAGCGACCUACGCUGCCUCGGGGGACACUGGCAGUGCAGCCGUGGCCCCAUUCCCCUAUCGCAGAUGAGUAUUUUUGUCAGCUUACCCCCCGAAUAAAAUAUUUCACUUUUCUCCC
rnacentral:lncRNA from 1 species